rnacentral:lncRNA from 10 species
CUUACAUGGUUUUGGAAAAAUGUCGGAUUUGAUGUAGCCCCUCAUUGUUUCUUCAUGGUGAACGAAACAGUGAGUAACUCUUUAAAGUCUCCUCUGUUGCCGAAUUGCUUAUAGUUUGUUUGUGUUUUUGGAGUGCUGUAGGAAGAGCAGUGAUGAAGGUUUGAGGCUUCUAGAUGCUUCCAUAUUAGUUGCCUGGGGCUCAGGCAGGGGCACACAUGUGGACCCCUGGGGGGACAUGACAGUUGAGCUAACAGCUGAGGAAUGAGGAUGACUUAUAUCCCAAGGAGUGGGUCAAAGGGUGUUUUGUGUAGCAAGUGUGGCAUGUGCAAAGGGCCUGUGGUCAGUGGAACUGAGGGUGCCUGUGGGGCUCAGUGAGGGGGAAAAGAGGAAGUCAGGCAUGGCAUGGGAUGGAGGGGAACAGAGUGAGGCUACAGUCAGUGCCCAGUCUUGAAAAUGUCCCUUCGAGUGUCCCUAGGGGCCAUCCUUGUUUUCAGUGCUUAUUACCCCUGCUCCCCUCUGCUUGCUCCCAGAGAGCUGUCUCCUGCCUCCCAGCUCUGCGUCUCAGAUCCUGGCUCUGAUCCCACGCUGCUGUUGCUUACACUCAUGUACCCAUUGCUAAUGUCAUCAUUCCCUUCGGCAGCUAAGUGCAAAGUUAAUUUCCCAUUUGAAAAGCAGUCUGUACUAAUAACAAUCAACUGGGAGACCCAAAAGAGUGCAGUUAAAGAGAAAAAAAAAAAUCAAACUUUCCCUCAAAAGAAACCAGUGAUACCAUUUGGGUCCACCUCCCUGAGGUUUGAAAGCCUCUCCGUUAGUGUUAGUUGCUUUUAGGCCUCUUCUUGCUGCAUUAGCAAGGUGUAUCUUUCUCUUUAUAUGCAGACAGUGCCCUCUUCUGGUGGGAGGCUCUCAGUGUCUGUCUACAAAUCCAUGACCCAAGAGGUAGAGGGGUCCCAACGGUCCCACUUAACUUCUGCCAAAGUGGUGCCCUUGGGAAUCCCCAACUUCCUGUGCCCACCUGUUCUAGCUACUUGGUUCACUUUGACCCAGCUCUUCAGGGGUGAUACCCUCCCUCAUCAGGCUCCCAGAUCCCAUCAGGUGUUGAAACCCCAUGUGAUAGGUGAAAUACUGGUCCCCAGAGAUGCCCACAUCCUAACCCCUUGAUCAUGUAAAUGUGUGACCUUAUGCAACACAUGGGACUUUGCAAAUGGGAUUACAUUAAGGAUCUUGACAUGGGACGAUUAUUUAGGAUGAGCUGUGUAAUUACAGUGGAAUCACAGGUUCCUUAGAGAGGCCUGCAUCAGAGGAUGAAGGAGUUGUUCACAUGUGGAAAGAGACAGAAAUAAAAGUGGAGAGGACCAUUGAAAAAAAAAGUCAUUGAAAGACUUUGGCACCCAGGUUGCCAUGGCUGCCCCCAGCCCUUCAAAUUCUCCUAAAGCCCCAAAUGAUCUUUCCCUGGAAGAUGCACCAGCCCAUUGGAUAGCUUAGAUGCAGCUGUUGGAGGGUGGAUCUAGCCUGUGAGGACCCAGUAACCUGGACCCAAUACAUGACAACAAGGAUUGAAUGAGUGGUCGUUUACUGCUGAGUAAUUGCUGGUUUUCCUGGCUACCUGGGCCCUGGGUCACAUGGAUGAGAGGGCUGGAAAAAAUGAUUAUCAGCACAGAGUCCCAGAAUCUCUGUGACUUCUGGUCACAGAUAUUUUGAGUGUAUGUAUAGAAAAAAGCAGUUGUUCCUACACAUUCAGUGUCAGAAGUGAAGGAUGAGAGGGGAGAGGGGUGUGCAUGUCAAAGGAAAAAACAGCUUUUCCCCCCUGUACGUGAGGUCACAGCAAAUUUGCAAGAUUCAGUGCAUGGUGAGAGAAGCAGGCAGCCGCUGACAUCCAGGGGCUGGCCUGGCUCCCGCUACCUGGCUUGGGGUUUCCUGUUGGACCUAAGAAAUGUCACAGACAGGACAUUUUUAAAGUCAAUAAGAAAUGUCAGACAAGAGCACUGUGAUGAAGUCAAGAGACCGUGGGUUGUGCUUUGGCUGGUUCUUGAUUUAUUUCUGCUCAAGGCAAUCAGUAUGCCAAGGUGGCAUAUUUCAGAGUGUCACGUAAUGAUCUACAUUCUUAUUCAGGGUGGGGUGUCCUGUACCCCAUCAACUGGAAGGUUGUAGCACUUCCUGCUUUCUAGACAUGGUAAAUGAACUCCCUGGGUCACUGGGAAAGUUGUAGCACUUCGCUUUUUGGUUCAUACACAUAAUUGUUAGCACUUCCUGAUUCCCAGGGACAUUGCAACACUUCCUGGUCAAGUAGAUGAGUAAUACUUAAAUAAAUAUUUCUUACUCAGCAUUUUGAUGUAUUUAUUCAUAGCCUUAGCUGAGGCAGGAAAAUCACUUGAACCCUGGAGGCAGAGGUUGCAGUAAGUCCACCCUGAAGCACAGUAAAAGCCACAAGACAGAAGUGACUGAUCCCAUCCCAGGGAUCCUAAAGAAGAUUAUCAUCAGACUUCUCAUUGGAAACUUUGGAAGUCGGAAGGCAGUAGGCUGAUAAAUUCAAAAUGCUAAAAAAGAAAACCAAUGAAAACAUGCUAACCAAGAAAAAAAAAUGCUACAUGGCUGAAGAAAUCAUGCAGAAAUCUUAGCAACAUUUUAAAUGAUCCAACAAGGUCUGUUGUUUCUGCGCAAAUAUGGGCAAACAUGAGCUGGUAUAGCUUAUUUUUAUGGGUGCAGGGAGCAUGCAGUUAUCUCCACUAGCAUGUUUUUGUUUGUUUGCUUUGAGAUGGAUUCUCACUCUGUCGCCCAGGCUGGAGUGCAGUGGCACAAUCUUGGCUCACUGCAACCUCCGUCUCCCGGGUUCAAGCAGUUCCCUGCCUCAGCCUCCUGAGUAGCUAGGAUUACAGGUGCCCACCACCAUGCCCAGCUAAUUUUUGUAUUUUUAGUAGAGAUGGGGUUUCAGCAUCUUGGCCAAGGCUGGUCUUGAACUCCUGACCUUGUGAUCCACUCACAUCAGCCUCCCAAAGUGCUGGGAUUACAGGUGUGAGCCACCGCAUCCAGCCUGUUUUUCUUUUCAACUCAUGCAUAGGUUCAGAAUUUAGUUCCAGGUAUGUGAGAGCUCCUUGUAGAUGUUUUUCAUGAUGAGGCAC